ACCUGAGAUCCUGCUCCUGCCUUUGUUCGCGGUCAUUUGCAUCAUCACAGAGCCUCAGCACAGAGCUAAGAGACACGUUACUAGAUAAGAAAUGUCUGCCCAGAAGAGCAGUCCAUCUUUUUACUCUUCUGUGAAAUAUGAAACACCAUAACCAGGAGGAAAUAUGACUACAUCCUGCUUACCACCAAACAACUUUGAGACCUCCUCACUCCAUUUGAAACUCAGAAUAGAGAUGAUCUGCUCUAAAGAUGAUCCCAGGUGGUGCAGUGAAAGAGGCUGCUGUUGUCAUUCAUUUGUUGCAGAAGGUGGAAGGUGUAUAGUGGUUCAGGCAUUAAAGAUCUUCACACAAACUCCUGAGUGACAGAGGAAAGAGAAGCCAGUGGGUGGUGCUUGGGCAUCUCUAAUGAUUGCAAACAAAAACUGUAUUAACACUGCCAGUGCCCGCUGCAUGUAUUCUAUCCGUACUACACCAGAGGGAGUGUUGGCAAAGCAUCGCAGAAAGCUCGUUAUACCUUUUUGUUGGUGCAUGAAAAAAAUGGAACAGUUAACUGAUUUGCUACCUUGCUGUCAUCCAGCAGCCGGCUCUACCCUCGUCAAGUGAAUGUGUUGCAUAGAUGUGAUUUUCUUAAGGUAAAAAAAAAUCACCUGAAAUGCCUCUGAACACGUAGGAUUCAGACCUGUCAACUUCACUGUUUUUUUUUUUUUUAUAAUAGUCUUACUCCUUUUUGGCCCUUUUUUCAGGUCUGCUAAUAAACUUGAUCAAGCCA